GUGGGGAAUAUUGGACAAUGGGGGGAACCCUGAUCCAGCCAUGCCGCGUGUGUGAAGAAGGCCUUUUGGUUGUAAAGCACUUUAAGCGAGGAGGAGGCUACCGAGAUUAAUACUCUUGGAUAGUGGACGUUACUCGCAGAAUAAGCACCGGCUAACUCUGUGCCAGCAGCCGCGGUAAUACAGAGGGUGCAAGCGUUAAUCGGAUUUACUGGUCGUAAAGCGCGCGUAGGUGGCCAAUUAAGUCAAAUGUGAAAUCCCCGAGCUUAACUUGGGAAUUGCAUUCGAUACUGGUUGGCUAGAGUAUGGGAGAGGAUGGUAGAAUUCCAGGUGUAGCGGUGAAAUGCGUAGAGAUCUGGAGGAAUACCGAUGGCGAAGGCAGCCAUCUGGCCUAAUACUGACACUGAGGUGCGAAAGCAUGGGGAGCAAACAGGAUUAGAUACCCUAGUAGUCC
rnacentral:rRNA from 1 species